rnacentral:lncRNA from 1 species
AUGGUGUCAGGGUGGUCUGUUACAGGGUGGGGUCUGGCCCGGCAUGGUGUCAGGGUGGUCUGUUACAGGGUGGGGUCUGGCCCGGCAUGGUGUCAGGGUGGUCUGUUACAGGGUGGGGUCUGGCCCGGCAUGGUGUCAGGGUGGUCUGUUACAGGGUGGGGUCUGGCCCGGCAUGGUGUCAGGGUGGUCUGUUACAGGGUGGGGUCUGGCCCGGCAUGGUGUCAGGGUGGUCUGUUACAGGGUGAGGUCUGGCCCGGCAUGGUGUCAGGGUGGUCUGUUACAGGGUGGGGUCUGGCCCGGCAUGGUGUCAGGGUGGUCUGUUACAGGGUGGGGUCUGGCCCGGCAUGGUGUCAGGGUGGUCUGUUACAGGGUGGGGUCUGGCCCGGCAUGGUGUCAGGGUGGUCUGUUACAGGGUGGGGUCUGGCCCGGCAUGGUGUCAGGGUGGUCUGUUACAGGGUGGGGUCUGGCCCGGCAUGGUGUCAGGGUGGUCUGUUACAGGGUGGGGUCUGGCCCGGCAUGGUGUCAGGGUGGUCUGUUACAGGGUGGGGUCUGGCCCGGCAUGGUGUCAGGGUGGUCUGUUACAGGGUGGGGUCUGGCCCGGCAUGGUGUCAGGGUGGUCUGUUACAGGGUGGGGUCUGGCCCGGCAUGGUGUCAGGGUGGUCUGUUACAGGGUGGGGUCUGGCCCGGCAUGGUGUCAGGGUGGUCUGUUACAGGGUGGGGUCUGGCCCGGCAUGGUGUCAGGGUGGUCUGUUACAGGGUGGGGUCUGGCCCGGCAUGGUGUCAGGGUGGUCUGUUACAGGGUGGGGUCUGGCCCGGCAUGGUGUCAGGGUGGUCUGUUACAGGGUGGGGUCUGGCCCGGCAUGGUGUCAGGGUGGUCUGUUACAGGGUGGGGUCUGGCCCGGCAUGGUGUCAGGGUGGUCUGUUACAGGGUGGGGUCUGGCCCGGCAUGGUGUCAGGGUGGUCUGUUACAGGGUGAAAAAAAACGAAAAUUCAGUAAUCAAAACGCCAAACUUUUUUCCAAAUUAA